UGGGGAAUUUUGGACAAUGGGCGAAAGCCUGAUCCAGCAAUGCCGCGUGUGUGAAGAAGGCCUUCGGGUUGUAAAGCACUUUUGUCCGGAAAGAAAUCCUUGGCUCUAAUACAGUCGGGGGAUGACGGUACCGGAAGAAUAAGCACCGGCUAACUACGUGCCAGCAGCCGCGGUAAUACGUAGGGUGCAAGCGUUAAUCGGAAUUACUGGGCGUAAAGCGUGCGCAGGCGGUUUGCUAAGACCGAUGUGAAAUUCCCGGGCUCAACCUGGGAACUGCAUUGGUGACUGGCAGGCUAGAGUAUGGCAGAGGGGGGUAGAAUUCCACGUGUAGCAGUGAAAUGCGUAGAGAUGUGGAGGAAUACCGAUGGCGAAGGCAGCCCCCUGGGCCAAUACUGACGCUCAUGCACGAAAGCGUGGGGAGCAAACAGGAUUAGAUACCCUGGUAGUCCACGCCCUAAACGAUGUCAACUAGUUGUUGGGGAUUCAUUUCCUUAGUAACGUAGCUAACGCGUGAAGUUGACCGCCUGGGGAGUACGGUCGCAAGAUUAAAACUUAAAUGAAUUGACGGGGUCAUAGCUGUUUCCU
rnacentral:rRNA from 1 species